UACGGAGGGUGCAAGCGUUAUCCGGAUUUACUGGGCUUAAAGGGUGCGUAGGUGGGUAGGUAAGUCAGUGGUGAAAUCUUCGGGCUUAACCCGGAAACUGCCAUCGAUACUAUUUAUCUUGAAUACUUUGGAGGUAAGCGGAAUAUGUCAUGUAGCGGUGAAAUGCUUAGAUAUGACAUAGAACACCAAUUGCGAAGGCAGCUUACUACACAGUUAUUGACACUGAGGCACGAAAGCGUGGGGAUCAAACAGG
rnacentral:rRNA from 1 species